rnacentral:misc_RNA from 1 species
ACAAUAAUCAGCAGACAACAUUGUACCGUAUUUAUCAACUUUUGUUUCAUUUUGAUACAGCAAAAACGAAAUAAAGGUUUCAAACAAUGGAGAAUUCUAAGGUUCCAACUAUUCCUACUUUGGAUGAAAUUUUGAAAGAUUUUCCUCCAGGACCAUUAGAUGUUUAUCGCAAAAAAGCAUCUUUCGAUUGGAAAAAACUAAAAUUACAUAUUCACGGUGAAGAUUACCUUAAAUUUCAGGUGAGAUACGUUUACUUUUGUAAAUAUUUUAAGCAAGUUUUAUUUUGUCCCAGUAAAUGAACCUUGAAAAAAGUUUUUGUUACCUUAUUGAAUCUCAAGGUCGUGAUAGGGGGCAAGAUAAAGAUUUCUUGAAAUUUUAUUGUCAAUAUCAGUAGUUUUUGUAUUGAUAAAAUUGACAAAAAAAGAGUAAUUAAUAUAUUGUUAUCGAGUUAACUAAUAUAGUUUAUAUCUUUAAAAGCGAAAAAGUAGAGCUUUUAAAAGUUCUAUAGAUGGAAUGUAAAUAUUUAUUAAUUACUCUAAAUUUAAAUGCAUUUUUAAGGAAAAAUAUAAACUCAAAGGAAAAUAUGCAUAUAAUUUAUAGUAUGCUGUUUGGAAUGCCUUGGAAAAUGAUCCCAUUUUUUACCAUUCGGAUAAAUCAAUAAGUUUAGAAGAAGAACGUGAAAGAACGUUUAAUCGAGUGAAGCGUCUCUUCGAAUAUGAUUUUGGUAAUAGCGAAGCAGCGGGUAAUUGUGGGCCAAUGGCUGGUCAUGCAUCAGUAUGCACACUGUUGCCUGUAGACGGGUCUAUGAAUACGCGAUAUGGAUUGAGUGUCUUUGUACGUAAACUUAUUUCUCUUUUUUUUCAAAACAGUACACUAUUUGGAAUGCUCUUGAAAAUGAUCCAACAUUCACUCGCAAUAUUGGAAGUUUAACCUUAGAACAAAUCCGAAAAAAUUCAGACAAUCAUGUUAAACGAUAUUUUGAAUAUGAUUUUUUAAAUGAUGACGAUAUUGCCAACAAUCCACUUCUGGUUGUCGCUCACAUUGGAGCAUUAUCUAGCUAUGAUCCAAGUUCCUAUGCUAAAAAUAUGCUCAAUAGAGAGGUUUCCAUUCUCAAUAAAUUAAGCCAAUUAAUUUCCAUUUAAAUGCAAUAAAAAGCAUCUUAUUUUUUGAGUAAUUUUAUAUAUUCAUAUCAAAAUCUAAUUCAGAUGUUCGGAAGAACAACUAGAACUGCUGGUUCCGAAAGACAUAAAGAAUAUUUUGAUGAUGUUACAAACUUUCAAAAAUUUGGAUGUUUUGCUUUAACCGAAUUGAGCCACGGAUCGAAUACAAAAGCAAUGAGAACUACUGCAACGUAUGAUCCAUCUACUGAACAGUUCAUUCUAAAUACGCCGGAUAUCGAAGCAACGAAAAUUUGGGUAGGAAAUCUUGGUAAAACAGCUACUCACGCCGUUGUCUAUGCCCAAUUAAUUACUCCAGAUGGAGUGAAUCACGGACUUCAUUCAUUUGUUGUUAAAGUUCGAGAUGAAAGAACACUUCUGGCUGUUCCUGGCGUUAUUGUUGGUGAUAUGGGAGAGAAAAUAGGCUUAAAUGGUAUUGAUAACGGAUUUGUAGCUUUCAAUAAUGUACGAAUCCCAAGAGAAAACCUUUUAAAUAAAACUGGAGACGUUACUUCAGAGGGAAAGUAUGUUACUCCUUUCAAAGAUCCAAAUAAAAGAUUCGGAGCUUCCCUUGGCGCCUUAUCGGGUGGCCGUGUUACAAUUAACUGUAUUUCCGUAACUAACUUGAAAUUAGCUAUCUGUAUCGCUAUUAGAUAUUCAUGUACAAGGCGUCAAUUCGGACCCAAAGAGGGUGUUGAAUUGCCUGUAAUCGAAUAUCAAAUGCAACAAUGGCGAUUAAUACCGUAUUUAGCGGCAGCUUACGUUUUGGAUGUAUUUUCACGUCAAUUUUUCAUGAAUUUUGUUGAAUUACAAAUUGGAUUAAUGGCUGGAGAUAAAUCUGAUAGGCAAGAUAAUUUGGGAAAAGAAUUACAUGCUCUAUCGUGCGCGUCUAAGGCAGUUCAUAGUUGGAUUGCAAGAGAUGCAAUUCAAGAAUGUAGAGAAGCUUGUGGAGGUCACGGUUAUUUUAAAAUUAACAGAUUAGGGGAAUUGAGAAACGAUCAUGAUCCAAAUUGUACUUAUGAAGGAGACAACAAUGUUAUUUUACAGCAAACUAGUAACUACGUUUUGGCAAGCUAUGGAGCAGUGAAAAGAGGUACAAUACUGUCAACUCCCCUGAACGCCUGCGAACCUUUGAAUAGAUUCAAAACUAUUUUGACGUCUACAUUCAGACGUAAAUCUGAUACUGUAUCAUUAAAUGAAGUUAUAGAGGCUUAUGAAUGGCUAAUAUGCUAUUUAAGCGAACAGAGCGCCGAAAAGUUGACUUUGGAAAGCAAAUCAAAUGAUUCCUUUACGGCGAGAAACAAUAGUCAAGUCUACUUUUGCCGAACCCUUGCAAUUGUAACUUUUGAACACCAUCUUUUGAAUCGAGUCCGUGAAUUUGUUAACAACGAAACCGAGGAUAGUCUCAAACCCGUUUUGUCGCAAAUGCUAACACUAUUUUCCGCCUGGAUUCUGGAAAAACACUUGUCUACUUUAUACGAAGGAGGCUAUUGCUCUGGUAAAGACCUAGCAACCUGCGUAAGAAAGACGGUCGUGGAUCUUAGCCAUAACCUCAAGAACGAAGCUGCAGCACUUGUUGAUGCUAUCGCUCCACCAGAUUUUGUUCUAAAUUCCCCAAUUGGCUCUUCCAAUGGAGAAAUUUACAAGAACCUAUACAGUGCAAUGAUUCAAACUCCUGGAGCUUUGGAAAGAACAAAUUGGUGGAGAGAAUUUUCCAAUAAACCAAACGUAGGAAGUUUGAGACCGGUUUCUAAACUCUGAUUCUUUUUUUGUUGAUCAUCUAUUAAAUAAUCAAAUUUAAUUAGGUCAUAAACACCUGUUGAAUUCAAUAAAACUAAAGCGAUUUUAAUCGUUAUUUUAUAUUGUAUGUAUGCACUAUAAACUUUGAAGAACAUCCAUAUUGGCUAUAUUUUACUUUAUCAGAAGAUAAUAAAACUACCAUUUUUCAUUAUUCAUUAUUAACGGCAAACGUAAACUUUACAGAAUGGAAUUUUAUACCAAAUUCAAGAUAUUUAAAUGACAAACUCCAAUUGAUCUAUAUUAUCCACUGCAUUCGUUAGUGACAAUCCAUCAAACUUCAAUUUAAGUGCGAAAUUUCUUUAUAGCACAAGCUUUAAGGCACAUUACAGCUUCAUUUCUUUUAAUAUUCUGAGUACUAAAAUUCAACAAUUUCGUAAAGCAUCAAACGAACAGUUAAAGUUACAUUAUAUGAAUAACUUGGAUUUCUAUGGAAAAGCGCCAUCUUUCUUCUCUUUUCAUCUGCUAGAUGUCG